GAUGAACGCUGGCGGCGUGCUUAACACAUGCAAGUCGAACGGGAAACCUUUUAUUGAAGCUUCGGCAGAUUUAGCUGGUUUCUAGUGGCGGACGGGUGAGUAACGCGUGGGUAACCUGCCUUAUACAGGGGGAUAACAACCAGAAAUGGUUGCUAAUACCGCAUAAGCGCACAGGACCGCAUGGUCCGGUGUGAAGAACUCCGGUGGUAUAAGAUGGACCCGCGUUGGAUUAGCUAGUUGGCAGGGUAACGGCCUACCAAGGCGACGAUCCAUAGCCGGCCUGAGAGGGUGAACGGCCACAUUGGGACUGAGACACGGCCCAGACUCCUACGGGAGGCAGCAGUGGGGAAUAUUGCACAAUGGGGGAAACCCUGAUGCAGCGACGCCGCGUGAAGGAAGAAGUAUCUCGGUAUGUAAACUUCUAUCAGCAGGGAAGAUAGUGACGG
rnacentral:rRNA from 1 species